rnacentral:antisense_RNA from 1 species
AGAUGUAAAAUCUGAGCUGCAACACUGAACAAAAGCUGUAUUUGCCAGUCAGCAAAGAUGCUACCACUCUGCACAACAGAUAAAACCCAUAUAUAUAGGGAAGUCAAAAGAGUCUUUAAGCUACAGUGUUUGAGAGGCUGUUUGUCUCUGAUGGAAAAUUAAGAAAAUGAGUCCAUUUCUAAGAAGAUGUGGUUCGAACAUACAGAGCUACAUAAUAUGAGUAAAAUAGGACCUAACGGUAGUGUUCUCCAGCAUUGCUCUGCCUUUCCUUUUCUGGAUGUAACAACAUUACUAAGAAAGGAAGAAAAAGCAAAAAUCUGCUCUCAGGUAGAUUCCAGCAUGAUGGAAAGCCCCAAAUGGAAGUCUCGGCUUUGGUUACAGGACAUAAGAUUUAAUAAACAAAAAGAUGCUCAUCUGGGAUGCUGCACCAAUUAUCAUGUACUAAAUAAGGUUACCUAUUUCACUCUCCAUGUAGAAAUGUCCAUCAUAAGCAUGUGCCACAGAAGGUCUCACAAGUAUCAUUAUUGGCUGUGUUGAAUUUUGUUUUUAGUUCUGUUUUAUAAGGUCUGUAGUCUUACUUUCAGUGAGGAAGUGUUUUCUCAGGUUCUCAAGAAAGUAACAAAAUGCCAGCAUUGUCAAGGUCACCAUUGCCACUGAAUUAUCUGACUGUCUGAUUAUUCCAUCUUCCUCUGCAUCAUAUUAGCCUGAUGACUACGUUCUAAUUAUUUAAAGCGUUAUGUAAAUCAAAGCAGUAAAUGUAAUUUCUAGUCUUACUAGAUAUCAUGUACAUUAGGUCGAAUAACUCUAGAAAUGUCGUCAUA